AUUGAACGCUGGCGGCAGGCCUAACACAUGCAAGUCGAGCGAGCGGCGGACGGGUGAGUAAUGUAUGGGGACUGCCCGAUAGAGGGGGAUAACUACUGGAAACGGUAGCUACUACCGCAUACUAUCGGAUAACCCAUAUGGGAUUAGCUAGUAGGUGAGGUAAUGGCUCACCUAGGCGACGAUCCCUAGCUGGUCUGAGAGGAUGAUCAGCCACACUGGGACUGAGACAGGGCCCGGACUCCUACGGAGGCGGCAGUGGGGAAUAUUGCACAAUGGGCGCAAGCCUGAUACAGCCAUGCCGCGUGUAUGAAGAGGGCCCUAGGGUUGUAAAGUACUUUCAGUCGGAAGGCGUUACCGACAGAAGAAGCACCGGCUAACUCCGUGCCAGCCGCCGCGGUAAUUC
rnacentral:rRNA from 1 species